GAUGAAGAACGCAGCGAAAUGCGAUAAGUAAUGUGAAUUGCAGAAUUCAGUGAAUCAUCGAAUCUUUGAACGCACCUUGCACCCUUUGGCAUUCCGAAGGGUAUGCUCGUUUGAGUGUCAUUGUACUCUCACACUUCCGAUCUUUGGAUUGGGAGCGGUGGACUUGGGUGUUGCUGCUUACUGUGGCUCACCCCAAAUCGAUUCGUGCACCUCUUGGUUGGACAUAGUACGGCGUGAUAAGUGUCUUCGCCGGCACCUCAGUAGAGGGUGGCUGAUCGGGAGCUCUGCUUCAAACCGUCCUCGGACAACAACUGACAACUUGACCUCAAAUCGAGUAGGACUACCCGCUGAACUUAAGCAUAUCAAUAAGCGGAGGA
rnacentral:misc_RNA from 1 species